rnacentral:rRNA from 1 species
GAUGAACGCUGGCGGCGUGCCUAAUACAUGCAAGUCGAGCGAACAGACGAGGAGCUUGCUCCUCUGACGUUAGCGGCGGACGGGUGAGUAACACGUGGAUAACCUACCUAAAAGACUGGGAUAACUUCGGGAAACCGGAGCUAAUACCGGAUAAUAUAUUGAACCGCAUGGUUCAAUAGUGAAAGACGGUUUUGCUGUCACUUAUAGAUGGAUCCGCGCCGCAUUAGCUAGUUGGUAAGGUAACGGCUUACCAAGGCAACGAUGCGUAGCCGACCUGAGAGGGUGAUCGGCGACACUGGAACUGAGACACGGUCCAUACUCCUACGGGAGGCAGCAGUAGGGAACCGGCGGCAAUGGGGGAAAGCCUGACGGAGCAACGCCGCGUGAGUUAUGACGGUCUCCGGAUCGUAAAACUCUGUUAUUAGGGAAGAACCAAUGUGGAAGUAACUAUGCACAUCUUGACGGUACCUAAUCAGAAAGCCACGGCUAACUACGUG